GGAUCUGCCAGGAGCACAGGGUCUGAGGGUCUGAGAGACUCGGUCCAGAUGCCAGCCUGAGGUCC